CACGUAGGGGGCAAGCGUUGUCCGGAUUCAUUGGGCGUAAAGAGCUCGUAGGCGGCUCAGUAAGUCGGGUGUGAAACCCUCAGGCUCAACCUGGGGACGCCACUCGAUACUGCUGUGGCUAGAGUCCAGUAGGGGAGUGUGGAAUUCCCGGUGUAGCGGUGAAAUGCGCAGAUAUCGGGAGGAACACCAGCGGCGAAGGCGGCACUCUGGGCUGGUACUGACGCUGAGGAGCGAAAGCAUGGGGAGCGAACAGG
rnacentral:rRNA from 1 species